CUUAGUUGCAGCAUGCUGGAUCUUUAGUUGCAGCAUGUGGGAUCUAGUACCCUGACCAGGGAUCAAACCCUCUGCAUUGGGAGUGAGGAGUCUUAACCACUGGACCACCAGGGAAGUCCCCAUCAGUCAUUUUUCAGUCCUUAUGUGGCCUUCCCAGCGAGAUUUGGUAAGAGUCUUACUACAGGUGAGAGUUUGGGGGCUACUACUAUAAUCCGGGUGAGAAUUAAUAGUAAUUUGGAUAAAGGUGAUGGUGGAGGUGGUGAGAAGUAGUCAAAUUCUGGAUAUAUUUUGAAGACAAUCAAAAUGAUUUUGCUGAUGGAUUGGAUGUGGGAUGUGAGAGAAAGAAAGGAGUCAAGGAUGAUUCCAAGAUUUUGCCCUGAGUAAGUGGAAGAACAGUUUCCAUUUACCGAAACUGGGGGAAGACUGUGAGAGGAGCAGUUUGGUAGGAGGAAUAUUAAAUGUCUGAUUUAGGGUAUGUUAAGUUCGUGAUGCCUUUUGGAGUCAAGUGGAGACGUAGAGUAGGAAUUUGUAUGUAAGUAGGGUGUAAGGAAGAGGAUGGGCCUGGAAAUAUAAUUUUGGAAAUUAUCACUAUAUAUAAAUGACAUUUAAAGCUUCGAGGCUAGGUGGACAAAGAAAUAGAAAUAGUAUUUAAAGCCGUGGGACUAAAUGCCCCAAGGAAGCGAGUGUAGGUAGGGAAGAGGAGAGGUCUGGUUACCGAGCCCUUUGCCAGUUUCAUAUUUAGAGGUCUGGAACAGGAGCAUCCAGGAAGGGGGAAUGAAGCAGCAGCUCAGCAAGAUUCCUCCUGAAAACUCCUUGAAGACCUUGCUCAGUGCCUGGCCCACAGUAGGUGAUCAGUGAAGAGCUGUAGAAUGGUGACUCUUACCCUCUCACUUGCUGGUAAAAAUUCCCAUUCUGGAGCCACAGAGAACAAUACACGGCUGCUUCCCUCCCCUCAGAUUAAGAAAAUGAACCCCGGGCUUCCCUGGUGGGUUCGAGCCCUGGGCCGGGAAGAUCCCACAUGCCACGGAGCAACUAAGCCAGUGAGCAACAACUACUGAAUCCCGUGUGCCACAACUACUGAAGCCCACGUACCUAGAGCCCAUGCUCUGCGACAAGAGAAGCCACCACAACGAGAAGCCCACGCAUGGCAACGAAGAGUAGCCCCCACUCACCGCAACUAGAGAAAGCCUGUGAGCAGCAAUGAAAACCCAAUGCAGCAAAAAAAUAAAAAUAAAAAAAUUAAAAAAAACCAAACCAAACAAACAAACAAAAAGAAAAUAA